UAUCUAAAUAUGUAUAGAUUAACCCACGAGUCUUUAAAAAAAUGGAGACAGGUUGAAUUAUCUUGGUAGGGAAGAAUUAACUUCAUCAAUUCCUAUUUACUCCCCAAAUGGUCCUACCUCUUCGCAUGAUCCCUUUUAAGAAUGCCCCAACCAUGGUUAGCUCUGAUACAACAAGAUAUAAAUAAUUUCACAUGGAAAGGAAAAAGGCCAAGAAUUCAUAAAAAGCUUCUGAUGCAAAAGAGUAGGAAUGGAGGUAUAAAUUUUCCAAAUGUGAACCUUACCUAUUUAGCUAAUAUGAUGUUUCAUAUCUAUGAGACGCAACUCCCAAGCUCUG